CCACUAGAGGCUUAUUGGUGCGUUCAUACAGAGUCGUUGUGAAAGGAGAAGUGCCCUCCUGAGAGUUUAGCUACGGUAAUCUGUUGUCUUUUGAGCCUGCAAGAUAGGUACUGUAACAGUUUUAUUUAGAGAAAAAAGAGGAAGUCCUCGCUGCAGUUUUGAGAGCAGCUAUUUUUCUUCAUGUUUGACUGGUGAUCGGUGGGAUUUAGCAUGCUUGCGGGUGCAGAAAUAUUCACAUGGUGAGACUAUGUAAUCUCCAGCAACGAAGAUUGAGCAGGGGAGAGCGAGUACACGCGAGUGCGCACGUGAUCGGAGGCUUUGUGGAUCAUUCAGAGUGCGGUUCAACAUUUAACAGAGGAUACAUAAUAAGCCACUAUCGUUGUUUAUUUAGGAUUAUUCAGGUUUAUUUAGAUUUAUUUAGUGCUAUUAAUCCUUAUUAGUGACACAUGCAAAAUCACUUUUGUUUUAUUUACUUACCUGUGUGGACAUUAUUACUGUAAAUUAAAAGGAGGAGAUCUUUAAGUAGUCAUUUUGAAACAUUGCUUGGUCUGAGCUAACCUAUUGUAAAUAUUGUAAUUCUUUCAUUAUUGUCCACAGAACAUUUUACAUUUCUUGUUUUUGCCCACUGUUGGAAAUCUGCAACUUUAAUGCCACAUUUUUCUAUUUAAACGUGGUCACAAAUAAAGAACCCUUUGUUUAUAGAUGACUGAGGAUGCUUGAUUUAUUUAAAUAGGAAGAGCAGUAUCCUGGCCACAUCUAUUUGGUACCAGGAGUGGGGUUAAUUUCCUCAGCAGGUUUCCAUUUGUGGGUAGUAUAAUUAGUGUAUAUAAAAAUAUAGAUAAAUAAAUAAUAAUAAAAUAAAUAAAUAUAAAGUCUAAGUUUUGUUAGUUAAGUGAGGAAAAUAAACAACGGUAGUGGUGAAGGAGAGUCACGCUUCAGAGACUGUGCAGAGAGCUGUGUGCGACAUCCGGACGACAGGGAGGACGAGGAGUCAGUGACUGGACCUGCUGGAUUGAGGACGCUUUAGAGGACUGUGUUUUGUUUCAAACUUCUAGAGACUUGUGGACUGAGAAAUCGUGCUAUUGAGGCAGAAGUAGCUGAUGUAAGUGUGAGUGGAGAGGAAGCCUGGGAAGAAGGCGGAGCCACUGAUAGAGAGGAGGACAGUGGGAGAGGUGACCCUCUUCUGCAGCUCAGGUCACAAAUUCAGGAGCUGGGAAAAAGACAUGAUCAGGUGAUGUCAACAUUAGCUACUCUGAACAAUACUAAUACUAGAUCUUACGUCUACACUGUAAAAAAAAAAGUUGAGUAAACUUAAAAUAAUAAGGCAACCUAUCACACAUAGCUUUUUGAG